GAUGAACGCUAGCGGGAGGCUUAACACAUGCAAGUCGAGGGGCAGCACGUCCCGCCGCAAGGCGGGAUGGUGGCGACCGGCGCACGGGUGAGUAACACGUAUGCAACCUACCCUGUACAGGGGGAUAACCCGGAGAAAUUCGGACUAAUAUCCCAUAACGAUAUUGAGAGGCAUCUUUUAAUAUUUAAAGCUCAGGCGGUACGGGCUGGGCAUGCGGAACAUUAGCUAGUUGGCAGGGUAACGCCUACCAAGGCAGCGAUGUUUAGGGGACCUGAGAGGGUGAUCCCCCCACACUGGUACUGAGACACGGACCAGACUCCUACGGGUGCUG
rnacentral:rRNA from 1 species